rnacentral:rRNA from 1 species
GAUGAACGCUGACAGAAUGCUUAACACAUGCAAGUCUUUGGCGAAUCUGUGCUUGCACAGGCUAGCCAAGGCGGACGGGUGAGUAACGCGUAAAGAACUUGCCCUGCAGACAGGGAUAACAGACGGAAACGACUGAUAACACCUGAUACAGUUGCCGGCACGCAUGUGCCUGGCAAUGUAAAGAGAUGCUGCAGGAGAGCUUUGCGUCCUAUUAGCUUGUUGGUGAGGUGACGGCUCACCAAGGCGAUGAUAGGUAGCCGGCCUGAGAGGGUGAACGGCCACAAGGGGACUGAGAUACGGCCCUUACUCCUACGGGAGGCAGCAGUGGGGAAUAUUGGACAAUGGGGGCAACCCUGAUCCAGCAAUUCUGUGUGCACGAAGAAGGUUUUCGGAUUGUAAAGUGCUUUCAGCAGGGAAGAAGAAAGCGACGGUACCUGCAGAAGAAGCGACGGCUAAAUACGUG